UACAGAGGGUGCAAGCGUUAAUCGGAAUUACUGGGCGUAAAGCGUGCGCAGGCGGUUUUGUAAGUCUGACGUGAAAUCCCCGGGCUCAACCUGGGAAUUGCGAUGAAGACUGCAAGGCUAGAAUCUGGCAGAGGGGGGUAGAAUUCCACGUGUAGCAGUGAAAUGCGUAGAGAUGUGGAGGAACACCGAUGGCGAAGGCAGCCCCCUGGGUCAAGAUUGACGCUCAUGCACGAAAGCGUGGGGAGCAAACAGG
rnacentral:rRNA from 1 species